rnacentral:lncRNA from 1 species
GUUGAAGGAUUGUCUUCCUUCAAGUUCUCUCUUUUUCUUUCAGCUGAUCUGAGCAGCUGCCAAGCAGGCAGGGCUAGAGCACGCGCGUUGGAAGAGCAGAUUUGUACCCUGUAGGUGACCGAUGCAUACCCUCACCGUUGGCUGCCUCGGAUGCUACUGUUUGUGCCUAACACCUGUUAAGGGGCCACACACACAGAUGGCGCUGCAUAGCCUUGUUGGAGGAAUGGAGACAUUUCCUUAGCUGGCGGCACCACAAGUGCAUGGAAGGAGGAACAAUUACUGAUGUCUGUUUAGAAGAGCAUCUUCUAGUUGACUCUCAAGUUCAAGGACAGCUGGAUAAAAAGAAGACCCUUCCCACAUCUUAAGGAAAAUUGUGGAAAAGGUAAUAUUUAGACUGUACAAUGAAAUUCAGCGGUCAUCCCCAUAUCACCUACAGUAUAACUUAAUAGACACUACCCACAUAGCUUCCCCCUUUGAUGGGUCAUGAGUGACGUGACGGUUUUGCCUCCAGCCUCCAUGCAGCCUGAACAUUCGGGUUGUUCUGAAGGAAUGCUUGGGCUGCUUAGGUUUUUAGUUAACC